AUGCCGUGGUGUGGGCAUGCUGUAAUGUAUUCCGGGAGACGUUCCUAUGCUUUUAGGAUUGUCUCAUCCUAGAGUUGUUGAAAACUGGAAAUCCUGUUCUGAACGGCAU